rnacentral:lncRNA from 1 species
AAUAGGUGCUUCUGUGUCUUUUCUAUGCCAAAAGAUAACCCUAAGGUUCGCACAAAUCUAUUUAUAAUCUAUGAAAAAUUACAGAAAACAGGUCUAAGCCCAACUACAACACUCAGCGUUGGUUUCAUCGCUCAGCUGUAGGUGCGGCACUCAAGUGGGACGCUCAACGUUCACGUCCAGGUAUUUGGUAGUGCUAUCCAAAUCAGACGCCCAAGCCUUACAUGACCUUCAAUUCUCACUCGGGCGUCCUUCCUGCGACGCUUGGGCGUGAUUUUACUUGGACCGGGUCCUGUUUCUGCUCUGUUUUGAUUCUUUUGNACCGGGCCGCACUCU